AGUCAUCGACGGUAGGGUGGGGUGUGUGGGGUUUUGGUCAUAUAUGUAUGUAUAUAUAUGACGGAACCCUCCUCCCUGCUCUGCCGGAUGAUAUUAAAUACACAACCGGUUAAGCGUUGGCCGCUCUCUGAGGUCCUGUUAAAGCGUUGGCCGCUCUCUGAGGUCCUGGUUCGAAACGGAUCUCAGGGAGCCCUCAUACAAUUGUUACACGAUGCGAUGGGGAUUCCUCGUUGAAUUGUGCUUCUCUGAAUUAUAAUGCUGAGAAACAGCCUGUCAAUCAGAGGAGUCCCUAUCAAAACGUGUGGGCACGCCUAGAUGAUGAUAUGUAAUAUAAAAUAUAUAUGAGAAAGGGUGUCACAGGUUGUAUAUAUAAUGUGUGCGCCCUCUCUCUCUAUAUAUAAUCAUAUUCAUAUCCAUCUCUGCGCGGGUCUCUUAUACUUUUCAUUACGCCGCGUAAGAGAAAGAUGAUAUACAUAUCAUAUAUGUUGCAAUCUCUAUGCAACGAUCAUAUACCUAAUCUUGGACAACUCUCAACAACGGAUAUCUUGGCUCUCAGAUCGAUGAAGAACGCAGCGAAAUGCGAUAUGUAGUGUGAAUUGCAGAAAUACGUGAAUCAUCAAAUUUUUGAACGCAAAUUGCGCUUGAGGCUUCGGCCAAGAGCAUGUCUGCCUCAGCGUCGGGUUGUCAUAUCACAUCACAUCCACGUGUGGAUAUGGCUGUCCCAGCCUCGAGUGUACAUUUUCACAUGUAUAUUAUAGGGCUGGGUCGGCUGAAGCGAAGAUGUUGAACCGUGGACCACUCAAUGGGCCUCUGCUGGGUAGUUGGCAGCAAUAUAUAUGGUAUAUCGUAUAUAUAUCUCGUAUAUACAUAUGCAUAUGAUCGUGUAUAUGCACAGGUGUAUUGUGUAUUAUUUACAUAUACAUUUUCUGCUCUAUAUAUCUUUUCAAAGCAGAUGCCCUGGCCCAAUGCGUUCGGCACACAACAAACAGGAGGUGUGGUAUAAACAUGAUGUCAUUAUUAUUAUUGUUAUUUUACUAUCCUAAAUGACGUAUAUAAUAAUAAGUACACUCCAUGAUCAUAUACUACUACGCGUAACAAAAACAUUUUACCUCGACCUGAGCUCAGGCAAGA
rnacentral:sRNA from 1 species